rnacentral:rRNA from 1 species
CAGCCGCCGCGGUAAUACCGGCGGCCCGAGUGGCGGUCACUAUUAUUGGGCUUAAAGCGUCCGUAGCCGGGUUGGGAAGUCCUCCGGGAAAUCUGGCCGCUUAACGGUCAGAAUGCCGGAGGAUACUCCCAGCCUAGGGAGCGGGAGAGGCCGAGGAUAUUCCCGGAGUAGGGGUGAAAUCCUAUAAUCCCGGGAGGACCACCUGUGGCGAAGGCGCUCGGCUGGAACGGGUCCGACGGUGAGGGACGAAGGCCAGGGGAGCAAACCGGAUUAGAUACCCGGGUAGUCCUGGCUGUAAAGGAUGCGGGCUAGGUGUCGGGUGAGCUUCGGGCUCGCCCGGUGCCGGAGGGAAGCCGUUAAGCCCGCCGCCUGGGGAGUACGGCCGCAAGGCUGAAACUUAAAGGAAUUGGCGGG